GGCUCAGAAGCAGCCACCAUUUAAAGAGUGCGUAAUAGCUCACUGGUCGAGAGACGCUGCGCCGAAAAUGUCCGGGGCUCAAGCACGGAACCGAAGCUAUGGCAUUGCGUAAGCAAUGGGUAGGGGAGCGUUCUUAUGGGGAAGAAGCAUUACCGUAAGGAGAUGUGGACACAUAAGAAGUGAGAAUGCCGGUAUGAGUAUCGAAAAGAAAGGUGAGAAUCCUUUCCACCGAAAGCCCGAGGGUUCCUGAGCAACGAUCGUCGUCUCAGGGUAAGUCGGGACCUAAGCCGAGGCACAGACGCAUAGGCGAUGGACAACAGGUUGAAAUUCCUGUACCGGAUGGAGUCAUUUGAGCAAUGGAGUGACGCAGGAGGGCACAUGAUCGCGCGACUGGAAGAGCGCGUCCAAGUGCGUAUGUUGAAUCGGAGGCAAAUCCCCGAUUCUGAAAGCAGAGACAUGAUGGGGAGUUAUAAGCGAUUAUGACGAACUCAUGGAUCCCACACUGCCAAGAAAAACUUCUAGCGAGACGAAAUCCGCCCGUACCGUAAACCGACACAGGUAGGCGGGGAGAGAAUCCUAAGGUGCGCGGGAAAACCCUCGUUAAGGAACUCGGCAAAUUGCAUCCGUAACUUCGGGAGAAGGAUGGCCCUGAGUAGGCGAAGUGCAGAAACGCACGGAACAGAAAAGGGUGGCAGAAAAGAGGCCCAAGCAACUGUUUACCAAAAACACAGGUGCCUGCGAAAGCGAAAGCUGAAGUAUAGGUGCUGACGCCUGCCCGGUGCUGGAAGGUUAAGGAGAGAGGUUAGCGCAAGCGAAGCUUUGAACUGAAGCCCCAGUGAACGGCGGCCGUAACUAUAACGGUCCUAAGGUAGCGAAAUUCCUUGUCGGGUAAGUUCCGACCCGCACGAAAGGUGUAACGACUUGCGCGCUGUCUCAACGAGGGACCCGGUGAAAUUGAAAUACCUGUGAAGAUGCAGGUUACCCGCGACUGGACAGAAAGACCCCAUGGAGCUUUACUGCAGCUUGAGAUUGAAUCCCGGUGGCAGACGCACAGGAUAGGUGGGAGGCUUUGAGAUAGUGACUUUGGUUGCUAUGGAGCCGACGUUGGGAUACCACCCUUCUGUUGCUGGGAUUCUAACGCGAAGAUUAACAACCUUGCGGACCAUCUCAGGUAGGCGGUUUGACUGGGGCGGUCGCCUCCGAAAGAGUAACGGAGGCGCCCAAAGGUUCCCUCAGGCCGGACAGAAACCGGCCGAAGAGUGCAAAGGCAGAAGGGAGCUUGACUGCGAGACAGACAAGUCGAGCAGGGACGAAAGUCGGGCUUAGUGAUCCGGUGGUACUGCGUGGAAAGGCCAUCGCUCAACGGAUAAAAGCUACCCUGGGGAUAACAGGCUAAUCUCUCCCAAGAGUUCAUAUCGACGGGGAGGUUUGGCACCUCGAUGUCGGCUCAUCACAUCCUGGAGCUGGAGUAGGUUCCAAGGGUUGGGCUGUUCGCCCAUUAAAGUGGUACGCGAGCUGGGUUCAAAACGUCGUGAGACAGUUUGGUUCAUAUCCAUCGCGGGCGCAAGAAGUUUGAGGGAGGCUGCUCCUAGUACGAGAGGACCGGAGUGGACGGAUCAACGGUGUACCAGUUGUCACGCCAGUGGCACGGCUGGAAAGCCGCAUCCGGAAAGGAUAAACGCUGAAAGCAUCUAAGCGUGAAGCCCGUCCCAAGAUGAGACUUCUCAUCAGCAAUGAGUAAGACCCCUUAAAGACGAUGAGGUUGAUAGGCUGUGAGUGGAAGAGCCGCGAGGCUUGGAGCGACGCAGUACUAAUAGGUCGAGGUCUUAACUUA
rnacentral:rRNA from 1 species